GACGAACGCUGGCGGCGUGCCUAAUACAUGCAAGUCGAACGCUGAAGAGAGGAGCUUGCUCUUCUUGGAUGAGUUGCGAACGGGUGAGUAACGCGUAGGUAACCUGCCUUGUAGCGGGGGAUAACUAUUGGAAACGAUAGCUAAUACCGCAUAACAAUGGAUGACACAUGUCAUUUAUUUGAAAGGGGCAAUUGCUCCACUACAAGAUGGACCUGCGUUGUAUUAGCUAGUAGGUGAGGUAAUGGCUCACCUAGGCGACGAUACAUAGCCGACCUGAGAGGGUGAUCGGCCACACUGGGACUGAGACACGGCCCAGACUCCUACGGGAGGCAGCAGUAGGGAGUCUUCGGCAAUGGGGGCAACCCUGACCGAGCAACGCCGCGUGAGUGAAGAAGGUUUUCGGAUCGUAAAGCUCUGUUGUAAGUCAAGAACGGGUGUGAGAGUGGAAAGUUCACACUGUGACGGUAGCUUACCAGAAAGGGACGGCUAACUACGUG
rnacentral:rRNA from 1 species